rnacentral:rRNA from 1 species
UACGAACGCUGGCGGCGUGCCUAACACAUGCAAGUCGAACGGAACUUACCGAAUGAAGCUUUCGGGUGGAUUUUGAUAAGUUUAGUGGCGGACGGGUGAGUAACGCGUGAGUAACCUGCCUUCAAGAGGGGAAUAACGUUCUGAAAAGAACGCUAAUACCGCAUAACAUACGGAUGUCGCAUGGCAACCGUAUCAAAGAUUUUAUCGCUUGAAGAUGGACUCGCGUCCGAUUAGCUAGUUGGUGGGGUAACGGCCCACCAAGGCGACGAUCAGUAGCCGGUCUGAGAGGAUGAACGGCCACAUUGGGACUGAGAUACGGCCCAG